GACGUAGGGCGCGAGCGUUGUCCGGAUUUAUUGGGCGUAAAGAGCUCGUAGGCGGCUUGUUGCGUCGACCGUGAAAACCCGCGGCUUAACUGCGGGCUUGCGGUCGAUACGGGCAGACUGGAGUACUGCAGGGGAGACUGGAAUUCCUGGUGUAGCGGUGGAAUGCGCAGAUAUCAGGAGGAACACCGGUGGCGAAGGCGGGUCUCUGGGCAGUAACUGACGCUGAGGAGCGAAAGCGUGGGGAGCGAACAGG
rnacentral:rRNA from 1 species